AGGAUCAUUCGCAAUGGGCGCAAGCCUGCCGAUGCGACGCUGCGUGGAGGAUGAAGGGCUUCGGCUCGUAAACUCCUGUCAUGAGGGAAAAAGCUCCCCGUUGUGAACAACGGCGGGGGUCGAUGGUACUUCAAGAGGAAGCCACGGCUAACUCUGUGCCAGCAGCCGCGGUAAUACAGAGGUGGCGAGCGUUGUUCGGAUUUACUGGGCGUAAAGGGCGCGUAGGAGGCCAUGUGUGUCGACCGUGAAAUCUCCGGGCUCAACCCGGAAAGUGCGGUCGAAACUGCGUGGCUCGAGCGGGGGAUGGGAAAGCGGAACUCAGGGUGUAGCGGUGAAAUGCGUUGAUAUCCUGAAGAACACCGGAGGCGAAGGCGGCUUUCUGGAACCCGACUGACUCUGAGGCGCGAAAGUGGGGGGAGCAAACA
rnacentral:rRNA from 1 species